UACGUAGGGGGCUAGCGUUGUCCGGAUUUAUUGGGCGUAAAGAGCGUGUAGGCGGCCAGGUAGGUCUGGUGUGAAAACUCGAGGCUUAACCUCGAGAUGUCAUCGGAAACCAUCUGGCUAGAGUCCGGAAGAGGAGUGUGGAAUUCCUGGUGUAGCGGUGAAAUGCGCAGAUAUCAGGAAGAACACCUAUGGCGAAGGCAGCACUCUGGGACGGUACUGACGCUGAGACGCGAAAGCGUGGGGAGCGAACAGG
rnacentral:rRNA from 1 species